UAGUUGUGGUUUGCAAUUUUAUUAAGUAACUUUUUCUUAACACACAAACUCUUGCUUCUUUCAUGUAAAUAUGGAGUGAAUUUUUUGAAGCUUUAGUUGUGGCUUGCAAUUUUAUUAAGUAACUUUUUCUUGAAAGCUUGAUUUGCUUAAUGGUUCUUUCUUCUUUAGUAUAGUACUUCUUCUUUCAUGCAAAUAAGAAGUGAAUUUUCUGGAGCUUUACUUGUGGUUUGCAAUUUUAUUAUGUAACUUUUCUUAACACACACACUCAUUCUUCUUUUAUGCAAAUAUGGAGUGAAUGUUUUGGAGCUUUACUUGUUUCCAAUUUCAUUAAGUAACUUUUUCUUAACACACACACACACACACUCACACUCACACUCACACUCACACUCACACUCACAUACUCACAUCACACUCACACUCACACUCACACGUGCAUAUACGCACACACUCACACACACACUCGCACUCACACUCACACUCACACUCACACUCACACUCACACUCACACUCACACUCACACUCACACUCACACUCACACUCACACUCACACUCACACUCACAGUUAUAUAUAGUAUCACCUCUAAUCUGAUAAGCCUAUGCAAAAUUCCAUAUUACUUUGUAUAGAAUUAGACAUAAGAAUCGGUAUGCUAAAUUCCCAAUUGUGAUAGUCAAUGUUAAUUUUUUUUCUUAUGUGUACUUGUUCUUAUUAAUAUUGAUGAGCUUCAUCUUCAUCGAGUUUUCUUGUAAAUCAACAAGCAUGAAAGCAACUUAUCAUCGAGGCGGAUCUCUUUACGUUAUUCGAUAUUUGAGAUCUUGAUCUAGGAAGUUUGAUUUUCUUAAUAGUUCUUUCUCUUCUAGUAGAGUGUUGCUCUUUCUUCUUUCAUGCAAAUACGGAGUGAAUUUUCUAGAGCUUUACUUGUGGUUUGCAAUUUUAUUAAGUAACUUUUUCUUAACACACAACUCUCUUCUAUUAUAACUUUUUUUAACACACACAUACGCACACACACACACCACACACACACACUCACACUCACACUCACACUCGCACUCGCACUAAUGUAUAAGUAUGGGUUUGUAUAUACACUACUGUAUAAGACCAUGUAUAUAUACCUAUUAUCAGUGAUAUAUACAAUUUCUUCUCUUGAUGAAUUGGGUAUGUUAAAUACCCAAUUGUGAUAGUCCAUGUAAAUGUUUUUUCUUAUUUGUACUUGUUUUUAUUAAUAUUGAUGAGCUUCAUCUUCAUCUAGUCUUCUUGUAAAUUAACAAGCAUGAAAGCAACUUAUCAUCGAGGCGGAUCUCUUUCAUUAUUCGAUAUGUAAGAUCUUGAUCUUCAUUUCCUUAAUGGUUAUUUCUUCUCUAGUAGGGUAUUGCUCUUUCUUCUUUCAUGCAAAUACGGAAUGAAUUUUAUAGAGCUUUACUUGUGGUUUGCAAUUUUAUUAAGUAAUGUUUUCUUAACACACAAUCUCUUGCUUCUUUCAUUCAACUAUGGAGUGAAUUUUUUGGAGCUUUACUUGUGGUUUGCAAUUUUAUUUACUUUUUCUUAAGACACACAGCCCACACACACACUCACACUCACACUCCCAUUCCCAUUAAUGUAGAAGAAAGGGUUUGUAUAUACGCUUCUGUAUAAGGCCAUGUAUAUACCUAUUAUCAAUGAUGUGUACAGUUAUUAGCUCAAUUUGUGUAUGUAUUGAUGUAUAACAGUACAUACCAUCGUUUUCAGAGUAUAUAUAUAUAUACUGAUGCAUAUAACCAUACAAUACAUUAGUUAUUAGCUAUAUAUACAGUUACUAGUGUGUAAAAAUACAUUGACAUGUGUGUGUGUGUGAUGUCUGUAUAUAUACGAUGUGUAUACACGUAUUUGUGUAUGUGUAAAGUGCAUAACAGUAAAUUUUCAGUGCAUUACUAUAUAUAUUUCUAUAUACAUUGAUGUAUAUACUUAUUAUCAGUUUAUACAUUUAUUAAUGUAUAAUAUACCAUGAUUUAUAUACUAUACACACACACACAUGCAUUCAUACUCACACUCACACUCACACUCACACUCACACUCACACGUACACACACACACUCUCACUGAUAUCGUACGCACAUGCACCCUUACGCAUUGAUAGCGCAUACAUACAUUUUUAUAUACACUGAUAUGUAUGACCAUGUAGAUACUUAUUAUCAGUUUAUUUAGUUAUUAGUGUAUAUGUGCAUUAAAAUGUAUGUACAUACACUCAUAUGCAUAUGUAUAAAGGGUUUAUAUUUAUACUAAUGUAUUAGACCAUGUGUAUACUUAUUAUCAGUGAUAUCUACAGUUAUUAGCUCAAUUUGUAUAUGUAUUGAUGUAUAGGAAUACAUACCAUUGUUUUCAGAGUAUAGCAAUACAUACCAUCUUUUUCAGAGUACAUAUAUAUACUGAUGUAUACACCUAUAUAAUACAUUACUUAUUUGCUAUAUAUACAAUUUAUAAAGUGUAAAAAUACAUUGAUAUGUGUGUCUGUGAUGUCUAUAUAUAUACGAUGUGUAUAUACGGAUUUCUUUGUAUGUGUAAAGUGCAUAACUGUAUAUAUAGAAUGUAUUAAUAUAUACAUUUCUAUAUACAUUAAUGUAUAUGACUAUCUAUACACUUAUUAUCUGUUUAUACCUUUAUUAACGUAUACGUACUCUGAUUUAUAUAUUACACACACACACACGCUCUCAUACUCACACUCACACUCACACUCACACUCACACUCACACUCAUACAUACUCACACACACACUCGCACUCAUACUCACACUCCUCGCACUCACACUCACACUCACACUCACACUCACACUCAUGCUCACGCUCACACUCACACUCACACUCAUACCCACGCUCACACUCACCCUCACACUCAUGCAUAAUCAUACUGACACUCACAAAUAUACAUACUAUCACCUCUAAUCUGAUAUGCCUCGGCGAAAUUCCAUAUUACUUUGUAUAGAAUUAAGCAUAAGAAUGGGUUUUUUCUCUUGAUGAAUUGGGUAUGCUAAAUACGUAAUUGUGAUAAUUCAUGUUAAUUUUUUAUCUUAUUUGUAUUAUUAUUGAUGCGCUUCAUCUUCAUCGAGUUUGCUUGUAAAUCAACAAGCCUGAUGCAACUUAUCAUCAAGGCGAAUCUCCUUACGUUAUUCGAUAUUUGAUAUCUUCAUUUUGCUAGCUUGAUUAGCUUAAUGGUUCUUUCUUCUCUAAUGUGGUACUGCUCUUGCUUCUUCCAUGCAAAUAUGGUGUGAAUUUUUUGAUGGUUUACUUGUGGUUUGCAAUUUUAUUUUGUAACUUUUUCUUAACUCACACACAUAUGCACACCAAACACACACAUAUACUCACACUCACACUAAGGUAUGUGACCAUGUAUAUACUUAUUAUCAGCGAUAUAUACCGAUAUUAGCUUAAUUUGCGUAUGUGUUGAUGUAUAACAGUAUAUACCAGUGUUUCCAGAGUGUAUAUAUAUAUACUGAUGCAUAUAACCAUACAAUAUAUUAGUUAUUCAAUAUAUAUAUAGUUACUAAUGUGUAGAAAUACAUUGAUAUGUGUAUAUGUGUGUGUGUGACGUGUAUGUACGGAUUUGUGUGUAUAUGUAAAGUGCAUAAUUGUUUAUGUACAAUGCAUUAAUAUAUACAUUUCUAUAUAUAUUGAUGUAUAUGACCAUAUAUAAAGUUAUUAUCAAUUUAUACAUUUAUUAACGUAUAUGUACACUGAUUUAUAUACUACACACACGCACUCACACUCACACUCACACUCAUGCAUACGCACUCGCACGUACACUCACACUUAUACACACGUACUCACACACACACUCACACUCACACUCACACUUGCACUCACAGUCACACUCAGCCUUACACACACUCACACUCACACUCACACUCACACUCACACUCACACUCACACUCACAGAUAUAUAUACUAUCACCUCUAAUCUGAUAAGCCUAGGAAAAAUUCAUUAUUACUCUGUAUAGAAUUAGGCAUAAGAAUGGGUAUCUUCUCUUGAUGAAUUGGGUAUGCUAAAUACCCAAUUGUGAUAGACCAUUUAAAUUUUUUUCUUAUUUGUACUUGUUUUUAUUAAUAUUGAUGAGCUUGAUCUUCAUCGGGUUUUCUUUUAAAUCAACAAGCAAGAUAGCAACUUAACAUCAAGGUGGUUCUCUUUAUGUUAUUCGAUAUUUGAGAUCUUGAUCUUGCAAGCUUGAUUUGCUUAAUGGUUCUUUCUUCUCAUAUAUGGUACUGCUCUUUCUUUUUUUAUGCAAAUAAGGAGUGAAUUUUCUGGAGCUUUAGUUGUGGUUUGCAAUUUUAUUAAGUAACUUUUUCUUAACACACAAACUCUUGCUUCUUUCAUGUAAAUAUGGAGUGAAUAUUUUGGAGCUUUAGUUGUGGUUUGCAAUUUUAUUAAGUAACUUUUUCUUAGCGCACACACACACCACACACAUACUCACACUCACACUCACACUAAUGUAUAAGAAUGGGUUUGUAUAUACACUACUGUAUAAGUCUAAGUAUAUACCUAUUAUCAGUGAUAUAUGCAGUUAUUAGCUCAGUUUGUGUAUGUAUUGAUGUAUAGCAACGUAUACCAAUGUUUUCGGAGUAUAUAUAUAUACUGAUGCAUAUAACCAUAUAAUAAAUCGUUAUGAAUUAUAUAUACAGUUACUAGUAUGUAAAAAUACAUUGAUAUGUGUCUGUGAUGUUUGUAUAUAUACGAUGUAUAUAUACGGAUUUGUGUGUAUUUGUAAAGUGCAUAGCUGUAUAUUUUCAGUGCAUUAUUAUAUGCAUUUCUAUAUACAUUGAUGUACAUGACUAUAUAUAUACUUAUUAUCAGUUUAUACAUUUAUUAAUGUAUAUAUACACUGAUUUAUGUACUACACACAUAUACAUGCACUCACACUUGCACUCACACUCACACUCACACUCACAUACACACACUCACACUCACACUCACGCUUACACUGAUAUGCGCUUGCAUAUGCACACUUAUGCAUUGAUAGUGCAUACAUAAAUUUCUAUAUACACUGAUAUGUAUGACCAUAUAGACACUUAUUAUCAGUUUAUACAGUUAGUAGUGUAUAUGUAUACAUACACUUAUAUGCAUAUAUAUAAAGGGUUUAUAUAUACACUAAUGUAUAAGACCAUGUAUAUACUUAUUAUCGAUGACGUAUACAGUUAUUAGCCUUAUUUGUAUACGUAUUGAUGUAUAGCAAUAUAUACCAUUGUUUUACGUGUAUUUAUAUUUACUGAUGCAUAUAAUCAUACAAUACAUUAGUUAUCUGUUGUAUAUAUAAUUAUUAUGUGUGUGUGUGUGAUGUCUGUAUAUAUACGAUGUGUAUAUACUGAUAUGUGUGUAUGUGUAAAGUGCAUAACUGUAUAUAUACAGUGCAUUAGUAUAUUCAUUUUUAUUUACAUUGAUAUAUAUGACGAUAUAUACAUUAUUUUUAGUUUAUACAGUUAUUAGUAUAAAUGUACAUUGAUUUAUAUACUACACACACACUCACACUCACACUCACGCACAAUCAUACUCCCACCCACACUCUCUCUCACACACACUCACACUCACACUCACACUCACACUCACACUCACACUCACACUCAUAUACACACACACACUCAUAUUCAUACUAGCACUCACACUCACACUCACAUUAACACUCACUCACACACUCACACUUACACAGACUGACACACACACAUUCACACACUCACACGCACACUCACACUCACAGUCACACUCACACUCGCAGGCUCACUCACACAAUCUCACAUACACUCACACACUCACACUCACACUCACACUCACAUUCACAUUCACACACACACACUCACACUCCCACUCCCAGUCACACUCACACUCACCCUCACACAGACACUCACAACUCACACUCACACUCACACUCACACUCACACUCACACUCACACAAACACUAACACUGACACUCACAGAUAUGUAUACUAUACAUGCGUGGUGUGUAUGGAUUGAUGUGUGUAUAUUUACGAUAUGUAUAUGCAUAUCUUUUUGCGUAUAUGUAUACAGUUGCUUGCUAUCAGUUAUAUGCAAUUAUCGAUGUAUAUAUACAUUGAUAUGCGUACGCACAUGUACCCUUACGCGUGGAUAAGUGUAUAUAUAAUGUGUAUGUAUACACUAAUACAUGCAUUCUAUAUACACUGACAUAUUUGACCAUAUUGAUACUUAUUAAUAGUUUAUAUGUAUAUAUGGUGUGCAUAUAAAUGAUAUGUAUUUACUGAUAUGUUUAUGUGUGUAUGUAUAAACCUGCUAUCAGUUAUAUAUGCACUGAUAUGCGACACACAUGUGCACGCUCACUCAUUGAUAGUGCACACAUUCAUUUCUGUGUACACUGAUAUAUAUGACCAUAUAUAACACUUAUUAUCAGUUUAUACACUUAUUAGUGUAUAUGUACAGUGAAAUGUAUAUACGUACAUUCAUAUGCAUAUGUAUAAAGGGUUUAUAUGUACACUUAUGUAAAAGACCAUGUAUAUACUUAUUAUCAGUGAUAUAUACAGUUAUUCGCUCAAUUUGUGUACGAAUUGAUAUAUAGCAAUCUAGACCAUUGUUUUCAGUAUAUAUAUAUAUACUGAUGCAUAUGACCAUAUAAUACAUUAGUUAUCUGCUCUAUGUAUAGUUAUUAGUGUGUAAAAAAUACAUUGAUAUGUGUGUAUGUAUGUGUGUGAUGUCUAUAUAUAUACGAUGUGUAUAUAUUGAUAUGUGUGUAUGUUUAAAGUGCAUAACUGUAUAUAUACAGUGCAUUAAUAUAUACAUUGGUAUAUAUGAUGAUAUAUACAGUAUUUAUCAGUUUAUACAGUUAUUAACAUAUAUGUAUAUACUACACACACACUCGCACUGACACUGACACUGACACUGACACUGACACUGACACUGACACUGACACUGACACUCACACUCACUCACACUCACACUCACACUCACACUCACACUCACACUCACUCACACUCACACUCACACACACUCACACUCACACUCACACUCACACUCACACUCACAUUUAUAUAUACUACACAUAUAUGCAUGGUGUGUAUGGACUGAUGUGUGUAUGUAUAAUACGAUAUGUAUAUACUGAUAUUGUUAUGUGUGUAUGUAUACAAUUGCUUGCUCUCAGUUAUUAUACAAUUAUCAUUAUAUGUAUGCACUGAUAUGCACACGCACAUGCACCUUUACGCGCUAUUAAGUGCAUAUAUACUGUAUACACUAAUACAUGCAUUCUUUAUACACUGAUAUAUAUGACCAUAAGGACAUAUAUUAGCAGUUUAUAUAUAUACAGUGUGUAUAUAUACAAUAUGUAUAUAUUGAUAUGUUUAUGCGUGCAUGUAUAAACUUGCUGUCUGUUAUAUAUAACCAUGGUAUGCGCACACACAUGCACCCUUACUAAUUAAUAGUGCAUAUAUAUAUUUUUAUAUACACCGAUGUUUAUGACCAUACAUACAUUUUUUAUCAGUUUAUACAAUUAUUAGCGUAGAUGUACAUUGAUAUGUAUAUGAAUGCACAGGUGGCAGUUGCAGCCAACAAGGUAAAGGGACAGAUCCCCCUGCCCCGUUCUUUUUGAUUAGUUUUCCUCUCAAUUCGUACCAUUCGAAUCAUUAUCUUCUUUAUGAAUGAGUUUUCCUACCAUAUACAAUUUCCAAAUUGUGAUAAAAUCAGUUUAAAGAAGGAGAUUAUUUCUUCUAGCUAUCACGUCUAAUCAGAUAAGCCUAAGCGAAAUUCCAUAUUACUUUGUAUAGAAUUAGGCAUAAGAAUGGGUUUCUUCUCUUGAUGGAUUGGGUAUGCUAAAAUACCCAAUUGUGAUAGUCUAUCUAAAUUUUUUAUCAUAUAUUUGUACUUGUUUUUAUUAUUGUUGAUGAGCUUCAUCUUCAUUGAGUUUGCUUGUAAUUCAACAAGCAUGAAUGCAACUUAUCAUCGAAGCGGAUCUCUUUAUGUACACUGAUUUAUAUACUACACACACACACUCGCACUCGCACUCGCACUCGCACUCGCACUCGCACUCGCACUCGCACUCGUACUCGCACUCGCACUCGCACUCGCACUCGCACUCGCACUCGCACUCACACUCACAGAUAUAUAUACUACACAUAUAUGCGUGUUGUGUAUAGAUUGAUGUGUGCAUAUAUACGAUAUGUAUAUACUGUUAUGUUUAAGCAUGUAUGUAUACUGUUGCGUGCAGUUUUUGUAUAAACUGAUAUAUGUAGACUGAUAUGUACAUGUGUAAAGGGUUUAUAUAUACACUAAUGUACAUGUGUAAAGGGUUUAUAUAUACACUAAUGUAUAAGACCAGGUAUUAUUCUCAGUGAUAUACACAACUAUUAGAACAAUUUGUGUGCGUAUUGAUGUAUAGCAAUAUAUAUCAUUGUUUUCAGUGUAUAUACAACUAUUAGUGUGUAAAAAAUACAUUGAUAUGUGUGUGUGUGCGUGAUGUUUGUAUAUAUUCGAUGUGUGUAUAUUGAUAUGUGUGUGUGUAAAGUGCAUAACUGUAUCUAUACAAUGCGCUAAUAUAUAUAUUGAUGUAUCAGUUUAUACAGUUAUUAACGUAUAUCUACAUUAAUUUAUAUACUACACACACUCACUCACACUUACACUCACACUCACCACUCACACUCAUACACACAUAGACAAAUACACACUCACACUCACACUCACACUCACACUCACACUCACAGAUAUAUAUACUAUACGUGUUUAUGUGUUGUGUAUGGACUGAUAUGUGAAUAUAUACGAUGUGUUUAUACUGAUAUGUUUAUGCGAGUAUAUAUACAUUUGCUUGCUAUCAAUUAUGUACAAUUAGCAAUGGAUAUAUACACAUAUAUGCACACACACAUGCACCGUUAUGCAUUAAUAAGUGCAUAUAUAUUGUGUAUGUGUAUGCUAAUACAUGCAUUCUAUAUACAUUAAUAUAUAUGAUCAUUGAGACACUUAUUAAUAGCUUUUAUAUAUAUAUAUAUAUACAGUGUGUCUAUAAAAGAUAUGUAUAUACUGAUAUGUUUAUGUAUGUAUACACUUGCUAUCUAUAAACACUGAUAUGCGCACACACAUGCACACUUACGUAUUGAUAAUGCAUACAUACAUUUUUAUAUAUACUGAUAUAUAUAAUUAUAUAAACACUUAUUAUCAGUUCAUACAGUUAUUAGCGAAUGUUAUCAGUUUAUACAGUUUAUGCCUUUAUUGACGUAUACGUACACUGAUUUUUAUACUACUCACACACGCACUCACAUUCACCCUCACACUCACACUCACACUCACACUCACUCACAAUCACACUGAUUCUCACAAAUAUAUAUACUAUCACCUCUAAUCUGAUAUGCCUCGCGAAAUUUUAUAUUACUUUGUAUAGAAUUAGGCAUAAGAAUGGGUUUCUUCUCUUGAUGAAUCGGGUAUGUUAAAUACCCAAUUGUGAUAGUCCAUGUAAAUUUUUUUUCAUUGAGUUUUCUCGUAAAUCAACAACCAUGAAAGCAAGUUAUCAUAGAGGUGGAUCUCUUUACGUUAUUCUAUAUACGAGAUCUUGAUCCUGCAAUCUUGAUUUGCUUAAUGGUUCUUUUUUCUCUAGUAUACUACCGCUCUUUCUUCUUUCAUGCAAAUAUGGAGUAAAAUUUCAGAAGCUUUUCUUGUGGUUUGCAAUUUUAUUAACUUUUUCUUAACACACACAAACUCUUGCUUCUUUGAUGCAAAUAUGAAGUGAAUUUUCUGGAGCUUUACUUGUGGUUUGCAAUUUUAUUAAGUUACUUGUUCUUAACACACACAUACUCUUGCUUCUUUCAUGCAACUAUGGAGUGAAUUUUCUGGAGCAUUACUUUUGGUUUCCAAUUUUAUUAAGUAACUUUUUCUUAACACAGGCACACACACACACCACACACACUCACAAACACACUCACAUACGCACACACUCACACACUCACAUAAGCACACACUCACACACUCUCGCACACACACACACUCACACUCUCACUCAUACACUCGCACACACACUCACACUUGCACUCACACUCACGCUCACACUCACACUCACACUCACACUCACACCCACACCCACAUACACACACACCACACUCACACACACAUACACUCACACUCACACUCACACUCACAUUCACACUCGCACUCACACACCACACUCACACACACUCAUACACACACUCACACUCACACUCACACUCACACUCAUACUCAUACACACACACACUCACUGUCACUCUCACUCUCACUUUCACUCACUCACACUCACAUUCACGCACGCACUCACAUUCACACCCGUUCACACACAAGCUCAUACACUCACACUCACACUCACACUCAUACUCACACUCACUCACACUCACAAUGACACACACACUCACACUCACACACACACACACACACUCAUACUCACACACACAUACACACACUCACACUCACAGACUCACACUCCCACAUUCACACGCUCACACUCACACACACACACACUCAUACUCACACACACACACACUCAUACUCACACUCACACUCACACUCACACUCACAUAGACUCACACUCCCACAUUCACACACUCACACUCACACACUCACACUCACACACACUCACGCACCCUCACACUCAUGCAUACACUCACACUCGUAACUCACACUCACAGUCACAGUCACAGUCACUGUCAUAGUUACACUCACACUCAGAUAUAUACUACACAUAUAUGCGUGUUUUGUAUGGACUGUUGUGUGUAUAUAUACGAGAUACAUAUACUGAUAUGUUUAUGCGUGUAUGUAUACAGUUGCUUGCUAUCAGUUGUAUACAAUUAUCAAUAUAUAUAUAUAUAUAUAUAUACUGAUAUGUGCACAUACAUGCACCCAUACGCGUUGAUAAGUGCGUAUAUAUUGUGUAUGCAUACACUUAUACAUGAAUUCUAUAUACACUGAAAUAUAUGACCAUAUAAACAUAUAUUAACAGUUUAUAUAUAAAUAUAUAUAUACAGUGUGUCUAUAUAUGAUAUGUAUAAACUGAUAUGUUUAUACGUGUAUGUAUAAACUAGCUAUCAGUUAAGUAAAGUACUUAUCUUGCUUCUUUCAUGCAAAAAUGGAGUGAAUUUUUUGAAACUUUACUUGUGGUUUGCAAUUUUAUUAAGAAACUUUUUCUUAAUACACACACACUCUUAACACACACACUCUUUAUUAAGUAACUUUUUUUAACACACACACACUCUUUCUUCUUUCAUGCAAAUAUGGAGUGAAUUUUCUAGAGUAUUACUUGUGGUUUGCAAUUAUAUUAAGUAACUUUUUCUUAACACUCACCACAUACACACACACACUCACACUCACAUCCACAUUCACACUCACUCUCACUCUCACACUCACACUCACACUCACACUCACACUCACACUCACACUCACACUCACACUCACACUCACUCACACACACUCACUCUCACACUCAGACACACACACAUAUACACUCACACUCACACACACUCACAUUCACACGAACACACACUCACCACACACACUAACACUAGUAUUGACACUCACACGCACAUACUCAUACACUCACACACGCUCACUCUCGCACAUUCACGCUCAUGCUCACAUUCACACUCAGAUAUAUAGUACACUUUACGCAUGUUGUGUAUGGACUGAUGUGUGUAUAUAUACUAUGAUGUGUUUAUGCAUGUAUGUAUACAGUUGUUUGCUAUCAGUUAUAUACAAUUAUCAAUGUAUGUAUAUAAUGACACAUGCACGCACAUGCACCCUUACCCAUUGAUAAGUGCAAUGUACUGUAUAUGUUUACACUAAUACAUGCAUACUAUAUACAGAUAUAUAUGACCAUAUAGACAUUUAUUAGCACUUUACAUAUAUAUAUACAUAGUGUGCAUAUAUACGAUAUGUAUAUGGUGAUAUGUUUUUACGUGUAGGUAUAAACUUCCUAUCAGUUAUAUAAACACUGAUAUGCGCCCGCACAUGCACCCUUACGCAUUGAUAGGGCAUACGUACAUUUUUAUAUUCACUGAUAUGUAUGACCCUAUGGACACUUCUUAUCGGUUUAUACAGUUGUUGGUGUUUAUGUACACUGAUAUGUAUAUACUCACUCAUGUGCAUAUCUGUAUUGGGUUUAUAUAUACACUAAUAUAUAAGACCAUAUGUGUACUUAUUAUCAGUGAUAUAUAUAAUUAUUAGCUCAAUUUGUAUACGUAUUGAUGUAUAUCAAUAGAUACCAUUCUUUUCAGAGUAGAUAUAUAUAUACUGAUGCAUAUAACCAUAUAAUACAUUAGUUAUAAGCUAUAUAUACAAUUAUUAGUAUGUAAAAAUACAUUGAUAUGUGUGUGUGUGAUGUCUAUAUGUAUAUGAUGUGUAUAUACAGAUUUGUGUAUGUGUAAAGUGCAUAACUAUAUAUUUACAUUACAUUAAUAUAUACGUUGAUGUAUAUGACUAUAUAUACACUUAUUAUUACUAUAUAUCUUUAUUAACGUAUAUGUACACUGAUUUAUAUACUACACACACUCACAGUCACACUGACUCUCACCCUCACCUUCACACUCACACUCACACUCACACUCACACUCCCUCACUCAUACACACAUACACUCACACUCGCACUCGCACUCUCACUCUCACUCUCACUCUCACUCUCACUCGCACUCACACUGACACUGACACUGACACUUAUAAACACUCGCACUCACACUCACAAAUAUAUAUACUAUCGCUUGUAAUCAGAUAUACAAUUGCGAAAUUCCUUAUUACUUUGUAUAGAAUUAGGCAUAAGAAUGGGUUUCUUCUCUUGAUGAAUUGGGAAUGUUGAUUACCCUAUUGUGAUAGUCCAUGUAAAUUUUUUAUCUUAUUUGUACUUGUUUAUUAUUAUUAUUGAUGAGCUUCAUCUUCAUUGAGUUUUCUUGUAAAUCAAGAAGCACGAAAGCAACUUAUCAUAGAUGCGGAUCUCUUUACGUUAUUCGAUAUUUGAGAUCUUGAUAUUUCAUGUUUGAUUUGCUUGAUGGUUCUUUCUUCUCUAUUAUAGUAUUGCUCUUGCUUCUUUCAUGAAAAUAUAGUGUGAAUUUUCUAGAGCUUUACUUGUGGCUUGCAAUUUUAUUAAGUAACUUUUUCUUAACACGCACACACACACACACACUCACACUCACACUCAGUCUCACACUCACACUCACACUAAUUUAUAGGAAUGGGUUUAUAUAUACGCUAAUGUAUAAGGCCAUGUAUAUACUUAUUAUCAGUGAUAUAUAUAGUUAUCAGCUCUAUAUGUUUAUGUGUUGAUGUAUAUAAGCAUGGAAUACAUUAGUUAUCGGCUACAUGUACAAUUACUAGUGUGUGAAAAAUACAUUGAUGUGUGUGUGACGUCUGUAUAUAUAUACAAUGUGUAUAUAUGGAUUUCUGUGUAUGUGUAAAAGUUCAUAACUGUAUAUAUACAGUGUAUUAAUAUUUACUGUUAUGAAAAUACUGUUAAUGGCACAAAUUAAAGCUCAUAGCAUAAUUUUUUACUGAUAAAUAAGAAGUAGAGAGUGUGACUACAUGACCAAGUAAUCAAUAUUUUAUUGUUGAUUGUGUAAACUAUAAACUUACAGGAGCAAGCAAUUGUACCUAUAGGAUUAGUUCCCCAAACUUAAUCCUUCUGCUCUGUUUCCUCAAGAAAAUGAAAAGCCCUCUUCAAACUAUCCCAAAUCAGGGAGAAAAACCCUUUUCAAACUAUCCCAAAUCAGCUUUCCAUUAUCCUAAAUCAGCAUCCCAUCUUCCUUUUCUCGCUCUAAAAAUCAGUUAAGGCCUCUUCCAUUAGGGUUCUUUCUUUUCUCUCUCUAAAAAUCACUUAUGGCGGCCCCUUCCAUUAGGGUUUGUGAAAACUAUUUUCUUCUUCCCUCUUCUUGCUAUAAACCCUAGUGGCUAUGAGCCGAGCCAUAUUUUCUUCUCUUCCUUUCCUUCGUCGUUCUUCCUUCUUCUCUUUACACAGUAAACAUAGAUGUAAAUCCCAAAUUUAUAUGAACUUUUUUCAUCUAAAGAAAUUUAUAAAACUUUAACCACAGUUAUGGAGUGACCAUAGACACCAUACCAUAAUUAAAUAACUGUCGUGACAAAACAAAAAUCAUGUAUUUAUUUUUUGGUACUUGCUAAGUAGGAGUUAUGUUUAAGUAUUUACUAAAUAAAUUUAUAGUAUAUUUAUUUGUUUUUGCAUGUAAUAAGUAGGUGUGAUGUUUCUUAAAGUAUUUAAUGGGUAGAUUUAUAUGGUACUUUUUUUGGUAUAUGCUAAUUAAUUAUGUAUUUAAUAUUGGAUGAGAGUCACAAGACAUCUAAAUCAAUUGACUUAAUUAUAUUAGUCUAGUAAAGUUUUUAUAGAUGAAUUGGUAAUUGAUGGCUUUGACAAAAUUUUUAUUUUUUAGAAUUUCAAAAUUUCUAAUAUGAUAAAUGUAUCCGAUUUUUUUACUCUGAUUUUUUUAGCCUAAUGCGAUAUAUUAACGAUAUCUUUAUAUGAAGUAUUUUUACCAAUCCGUAUUUUUUAUCCAAUUUUUUCAUCCGAUUUUCAAAAUAAAAACGAUUUAUUUCCGAUAUGUAUAUACUGAUAUGUUUAUGCUUGUAUGUAUAAACUUGCUAUCAGUCAUGUACACACUGAUAUGCGCACACACAUGCACCCUUACGUAUUGACAGUGCAUAUAUACAUUUCUAUAUACACUGAUAUAAAUGACCUUAUAGACGCUUAUUAUCAGCUUAUACAGUUAUUAGUGUAUAUGUACACUGAAAUGUAUAUACGCACACUCAUAUGCAUAUUUAUAAAAGGUUUAUAUAUACACUAAUGUAUAAGACUCAUGUAUGUACUUAUUAUCAGUGAUAUAUACAGUAUUGAGCUCAAUUUGUCUACGUAUUGAUUUAUAACAAUAUAUACCAGUGUGUUCAAUGUAUAUAUAUUUAUACUGAUGCAUAUAACCAAACAAAACAUUAGCUAUUUGCUUUAUAUACAGUUAUUAAUUUGUAAAAAAUACAUUGAUAUGUAUGUGUGAUGUUUGUAUACAUACGAUGUGAAUAUACUG
rnacentral:lncRNA from 1 species